AACGAACGCUGGCGGCAGGCCUAACACAUGCAAGUCGAACGCCCCGCAAGGGGAGUGGCAGACGGGUGAGUAACGCGUGGGAACCUUCCCAGUGGUACGGAAUAACUGACCGAAAGGUUGGCUACUACCGUAUACGCCCGAAAGGGGAAAGAUUUAUCGCCAUUGGAUGGGCCCGCGUCGGAUCAGCUAGUUGGUGGGGUAAUGGCUCACCAAGGCGACGAUCCGUAGCUGGUCUGAGAGGAUGAUCAGCCACACUGGGACUGAGACACGGCCCAGACUCCUACGGGAGGCAGCAGUGGGGAAUAUUGGACAAUGGGCGCAAGCCUGAUCCAGCCAUGCCGCGUGAGUGAUGAAGGUCUUCGGAUCGUAAAACUCUUUCGCCGGGGAAGAUAAUGACGGUACCCGGAGAAGAAGCUCCGGCUAACUUCGUGCCAGCCGCCGCGGUAA
rnacentral:rRNA from 1 species